rnacentral:rRNA from 1 species
GUGUUCAAGUUUUUAAGGGCAUACGGUGGAUGCCUUGGCAUCAGGAGCCGAUGAAGGACGUGGGAGCCUGCGAUAUGCCUCGGGGAGUCGGCAACCAGACUUUGAUCCGGGGAUUUCCGAAUGGGGAAACCUGGCACCCGUCAUGGGGUGUCGCCGCCGUCUGAAUGUAUAGGGCGGUUGGUGGGAACGCGGGGAAGUGAAACAUCUCAGUACCCGCAGGAAGAGAAAACAAUAGUGAUUCCGUGAGUAGUGGUGAGCGAAAGCGGAUUAGCCUAAACCGUGCGCGUGUGAUAGCCGGCAGGUGUUGCGUGUGCGGGGUUGUGGGACCAUCCUGGUUCAGCUGCCGCUGGAUCGAAGAGUUACAAAAUAUCGUGGUAGUCGAAUGGCAUGGGAAGGCCGACCGUAGACGGUGAGAGUCCGGUAGACGAAACUGCGAUGUCUCUUGGGUGUGUUCCCCGAGUAGCACGGGGCCCGUGAAAUCCCCGUGUGAAUCUGCCACGACCACGUGGUAAGGCUGAAUACUUCCUGAUGACCGAUAGCGGACCAGUACCCGUGAGGGAAAGGUGAAAAGUGCCCCGGUGAGGGGUCGUGAAAUAGUACCUGAAACCCGUGUGCCUACAAGCCGUCAGAGCCUCCUCUAAUGGGGACUUGUCCUUGUUGUCGGUGAUGGCGUGCCUUUUGAAGAAUGAGCCUGCGAGUUACGGUGUGUGGCCAAGGUUAACCGGUGUCGGGUAGCCGUAGCGAAAGCGAGUCUGAAUAGGGCGUUUUAGUCGCAUGCUGUAGACCCGAAGCGGGGUGAUCUAGCCAUGGCCAGGUUAAAGCGCCGGUAAGACGGUGUGGAGGCCCGAACCCACCAGGGUUGAAAACCUGGGGGAUGACCUGUGGUUAGGGGUGAAAGGCCAAUCAAACUCCGUGAUAGCUGGUUCUCCCCGAAAUGCAUUUAGGUGCAGCGUCGCGUGUUUCUUGCCGGAGGUAGAGCUACUGGAUGGCCGAUGGGCCCGACAAGGUUACUGACGUCAGCCAAACUCCGAAUGCCGGUAAGUGAGAGCGUGGCAGUGAGACUGCGGGGGAUAAGCUUCGUAGUCGAGAGGGAAACAGCCCAGAUCAUCGGCUAAGGCCCCUAAGCGUGUGCUAAGUGGGAAAGGAUGUGGAGUUGCCGUGACAACCAGGAGGUUGGCUUAGAAGCAGCCAUCCUUGAAAGAGUGCGUAAUAGCUCACUGGU